AAUAAAAUUCUUUAUGGUUUAAUAAUUUAUUAUAAAUUUAUUUUACAUAUAAAUUUUAGUGUUAAAUAUUAAUUAUUUAAAUAAUAAUUAUUUAUUUUGUAGUAAUUAAUAUUAAAUAUUUAAGAAAUUAAGAUUUAGUAAUAUUUAAAUUAAUAACAAAUUUUGUGCCAGCAGUUGCGGUUAAACAAAAAUUAAAUUAAAUUUUAUUAGUAAUUAAUUAAUAAAUAUUUUUAUAAUAAAAAUUUUAAAUUAUUAGGUGAAAUUUUAAUUUAAUUAAAUUUUAUAUUUGAAUUUAUGAUUUAAUAAAUUUUAAAAAAAACUAGGAUUAGAUACCCUAUUAUUAAAAUUUAAAUUUAUAAUACUAAAAUAGUAAUUAAUUAUUUAUUGAAACUUAAAUAAUUUGGCGGUAUUUUAGUUCAUUUAGAGGAAUCUGUUUAAUAAUUGAUAAUCCACGAAUAAAUUUACUUAAUUUAAUAUUUUGUAUAUCGUUGUUAAAAAAAUAUUUUUAAAAAAAAUUAAUAUUUAAAAAUUUUAAAUUAAUUUAAAUCAGAUCAAGAUGCAGAUUAUAAUUAAGAAUAUAAUGGAUUACAAUAAAUUUAUUUAUACUGAUAUUAAUUUGUAAUAAUUAAUUGAGGGUGGAUUUAAAUGUAAUUUUAUUUAAUUUAUUAAAAUGAUUAAAAAUUAAAAUAUGUACAUAUUGCCCGUCACUUUCAUAUAAUUAUAAUUUAAUUAUAAUAAAUUGAAAUAAGUCGUAACAAAGUAGAGGUACUGGAAAGUGUUUCUAGAAAGAA
rnacentral:ncRNA from 1 species